AUUGAACGCUGGCGGCAGGCCUAACACAUGCAAGUCGAACGAGUGGCGGACGGGUGAGUAAUGUCUGGGAAACUGCCCGAUGGAGGGGGAUAACUACUGGAAACGGUAGCUAAUACCGCAUACCAUCGGAUGUGCCCAGAUGGGAUUAGCUAGUAGGUGGGGUAACGACUCACCUAGGCGACGAUCCCUAGCUGGUCUGAGAGGAUGACCAGCCAUCCUGUAACUGUGACACGGUCCAGAAUCCUGCGGGAGGCAGCAGUAAAGAAUAUUGCACAAUGGGCGCAAGCCUGAUGCAGCCAUGCCGGUUGUAUGAAGAAGGCCUUCGGGUUGUAAAGUACUUUCAUCGAGGAGGCGUUACUCGCAGAAGAAGCAGCGGCUGACUCCGAGCCAGCGGCCGCGGUAGUAC
rnacentral:rRNA from 1 species